rnacentral:piRNA from 1 species
ACCAGGAAAGGUGGUUAUCUGGGGCUCAGC